GAUGAACGCUAGCGGCAGGCUUAACACAUGCAAGUCGAGGGGCAGCGCGGGAUAGCAAUAUCCUGGCGGCGACCGGCGGAAGGGUGCGUAACGCGUGAGCGACAUGCCCGUUGCCCGGGGACAACCGGUGGAAACGCCGACUAAUCCCCGAUGGGAUACGAUGCUUCAUGGCAUUGUAUUGAAAGUUACGGCGGCGACGGAUUGGCUCGCGUCCGAUUAGCUGGUUGGCGGGGUAACGGCCCACCAAGGCUGCGAUCGGUAGGGGUUCUGAGAGGAAGGCCCCCCACGAUGGGACUGAGACACGGCCCAUACUCCUACGGGAGGCAGCAGUGAGGAAUAGUGGUCAAUGGGCGGAAGCCUGAACCAGCCAUGCCGCGUGCGGGAAGGAGGCCCUAUGGGCUGUGAACCGCUUUUGCCUGGGGGCAAUAAGGGCGUCGCGCACGUCCGAUGAGAGUACCAGGCGAAUAAGCAUCGGCUAACUCCGUG
rnacentral:rRNA from 1 species